AUUGAACGCUGGCGGCAUGCCUUACACAUGCAAGUCGAACGGCAGCACGGGAGCAAUCCUGGUGGCGAGUGGCGAACGGGUGAGUAAUACAUCGGAGCGUACCUGGUAGUGGGGGAUAGCCCGGCGAAAGCCGGAUUAAUACCGCAUACGACCUGAGGGUGAAAGCGGGGGACUCGCAAGGGCCUCGCGCUAUUGGAGCGGCCGAUGGCAGAUUAGGUAGUUGGUGGGGUAAAGGCCUACCAAGCCUGCGAUCUGUAGCUGGUUUGAGAGGACGACCAGCCACACUGGGACUGAGACACAGCCCAGACUCCUACGGGAGGCAGCAGUGGGGAAUUUUGGACAAUGGGCGCAAGCCUGAUCCAGCCAUGCCGCGUGCGGGAAGAAGGCCUUCGGGUUGUAAACCGCUUUUGUCGGGGAAGAAACGGUGGGAGCUAAUAACUUCUGCUAAUGACGGUACCCGAAGAAUAAGCACCGGCUAACUACGUGCCAGCCGCCGCAGUAAAAC
rnacentral:rRNA from 1 species